AGAGUUUGAUCCUGGCUCAGGACGAACGCUGGCGGCGUGCCUAAUACAUGCAAGUCGAGCGAGCUUGCCUAGAUGAUUUUAGUGCUUGCACUAAAUGAAACUAGAUACAAGCGAGCGGCGGACGGGUGAGUAACACGUGGGUAACCUGCCCAAGAGACUGGGAUAACACCUGGAAACAGAUGCUAAUACCGGAUAACAACACUAGACGCAUGUCUAGAGUUUGAAAGAUGGUUCUGCUAUCACUCUUGGAUGGACCUGCGGUGCAUUAGCUAGUUGGUAAGGUAACGGCUUACCAAGGCAAUGAUGCAUAGCCGAGUUGAGAGACUGAUCGGCCACAUUGGGACUGAGACACGGCCCAAACUCCUACGGGAGGCAGCAGUAGGGAAUCUUCCACAAUGGACGAAAGUCUGAUGGAGCAACGCCGCGUGAGUGAAGAAGGGUUUCGGCUCGUAAAGCUCUGUUGGUAGUGAAGAAAGAUAGAGGUAGUAACUGGCCUUUAUUUGACGGUAAUUACUUAGAAAGUCACGGCUAACUACGUGCCAGCAGCCGCGGUAAUACGUAGGUGGCAAGCGUUGUCCGGAUUUAUUGGGCGUAAAGCGAGUGCAGGCGGUUCAAUAAGUCUGAUGUGAAAGCCUUCGGCUCAACCGGAGAAUUGCAUCAGAAACUGUUGAACUUGAGUGCAGAAGAGGAGAGUGGAACUCCAUGUGUAGCGGUGGAAUGCGUAGAUAUAUGGAAGAACACCAGUGGCGAAGGCGGCUCUCUGGUCUGCAACUGACGCUGAGGCUCGAAAGCAUGGGUAGCGAACAGGAUUAGAUACCCUGGUAGUCCAUGCCGUAAACGAUGAGUGCUAAGUGUUGGGAGGUUUCCGCCUCUCAGUGCUGCAGCUAACGCAUUAAGCACUCCACCUGGGGAGU
rnacentral:rRNA from 1 species